rnacentral:lncRNA from 1 species
GUUAUCACAUCAUGUGCAACUGUUGCAUAUGUCGUUCUUCCUGAGGUAGAGGGUAGGGGAGGAGACCAUUUUUUUUUUUUUAAAUAUUUUUUUUUUUGGGACACUUCAUUUUUUGACAAGAUCGCAACCCUGCGAUGUCUUGCAUCCUAGCAAGAUGUGGGUGUCCAUGAGCUGGCAGUACUCGACAUAUAAACCUCCACUCAGGAUGUCAAUGCUGCUGCCGUAGCAGGGAGACAGCCAGAGCCUGCAUAGCUGGGACAGAAAGGUUCAACAUAAAUGAAUAAAAAUAGUGCCCUUAAUGUUAACAUGAAACCGUCCUGAGCAGGUACACAUCGUGACUCCCUUGGGCCAUGUUUAGAUAUUCAGCAGUAUGAUGGGUCAGAACUGCUGAUUCAGAGAAACCGAGCUCCUGCUGUCACAAGUCAGAUUCUUACUGGACAUGGCCCUCAGAGCAUAAAUAUACUAUAUCCACCCAAAAAAAAAAUUGAUCCAGCUCUUAAAAAUAGUUUAAUGGUUAAGGGAGCAAUACAGGGAGUGGAGAGUGCAGAAGACCCUCCUGAUCGAUGCUGCUACUCCAGUCGUUACUCAAAGCGAUCCCAUUAAUAAAAGACCAGCUGGUCUAAAAGCGCGAUGCAGGCGGUAAAAGUGUUACUCGGCGGACUUGGCAACGCGCUCUUUAAUACUGUUUUUACCCUGAAGGUCCCUUGGGACAUAGCCGGAGUGCUAAGGCCUGGAGGAGUGCGUGUGACCCCCACAGAGACUUUGGUCACACUGCAACACGGAGCAGGACAGCCACCCCCAGCAGCUGAUGGGCAGGGCUUUCCCCCAGUUACCCUGGGAGAGCUGCCUGUCGGCAGGUCGAACGCCGUCCCAGCCAGAACGUGUUUGUUCUAUUCCCGCCCUUCGACUAGGAGAUCUGACCUUAGUAAAGAAGCUCUAAAUCCAACGCAUCCAACUUUGCCCAACAGCCUCCGCAGGCUGUGGGUGGAACUAGUGGGGAAACCAAUCUCAACAGAUACCGGUGUGAAGUGCGGUAAACGAGUGCAGCCGAGCUCGGGGCUCGGGCGAUUCCGCCAGAACCCGACACAGGCCAACCGUACCGGAGUAGAAAGGCACAAAGACAGAGCACAGACCACCAUGUUCCAAAUAAACUGAUUGUCAUGUAUGUAAUGUAAGCUCAUAAAACCCAUUUCCAGCCAAUAGUACAGUGAGCUUCACUUUGAAACCUAUUGCAUUACAGAGCAGCUCAUGCACUGUAUGUACAGUCUACCUCCUGUUGUAGGGUUUGUAUCAACCAGAAAUACUGUGUUGCUGAGCAACAGGGCGUUGUAGAACCCUGAAAUCAACCUCAUUUAGGACCAUCAGCUGUAUUACCUUACUUCAUUCAGCUGACAUUUUUCCAGAGCAA